rnacentral:lncRNA from 1 species
CUCCACAACCGAAUUGCCUGCAUUCAGAGAUGGUGCUGGGAACCUUCAGUACAGAGGUAUGCUUUGAAAUAAAGACACUCCCCUUGAUGCCACAACUAAAUUUUACUAGAAAAUUACAUUGCAAAUCAGCCUGUACUGUGAAAUCAAAUUCUGACCUGCUCUGCACAGGUGCAAACGUUUAAACAGUGCUGCACACCCGACAUAGAAGCACGGGGAGAUGGUGCUGGGUGUCAUCAGCAUACACUAUUUGCAAAGGUGGCACUGCCUUUGCUGUCACAACUAACUUUUCACCUACAUGAUCCUCUGAAACGAAACUGUGCUGGAAAACAGGUCUUGCUCCUAUCCUGCAUCCAAGGAUCAGCGUCAGAACUCUGCUCCACAACCGAAUUGCCUGCAUUCAGAGAUGGUGCUGGGACCUUCAGUACAGAGGAGCAUAUGGAUCGAACCUGUGCUGAUAAAGACGUCUUCUACAAUGCUGCGUAAAAGCAUCAUUUUCAGAACUCUGAUCCGCAAACGAAUUGCCUGCACUCAGAGAUGGUCCUGGGAACCUUCAGUACAGAGGUAUGCUUUGAAAUAAAGACACUCCUCUUGAUGCCACAACUAAAUUUUACUACAAAAUUUCAUUGCAAAUCAGCCUGUGCUGUGAAAUCAAAUUCUGACCUGCUCUGCACAGGUGCAAAUAUUUAAACAGUGC